AUAGGUGGCUCUCCUCAAAUGUCUAGAGAUGGCUGGCUAUUUGUUCACAUCUGCGUGAUGCGCUAAAAUGUGGGAUAAGGAUCAAGACCACUCUGCAUUGUCUCGGGACGGCCUACAGUAUAUACUUCCACCGCACCUCUACGGGGACACCUCAGCCUCCUUGCCACAGGCCAGCUAAACACAUUCCCGACAAGAUGAAACAAAAGCUACUAUCUUAGACAGUUCCUACCAACAAAAAAAAAGGCUCAAAGACUGGCAGCCCUCCGUGGCUACUGAAAAACAUGAAUCACAUCUGGGGAUUCCUUUGGCUUCUUUGAAUGGGGCCUCCGCCCACAGCGGGUCCCAGAGGCCGUGCUGCAUUCAAGGCCCCGCCAUCCGGUCCUGGGAGCCCACCGGCCUUAUGAGAGCUUUCAUCCACUCCUCCCUGUGUGGAUUAGAACCUGUGAUACAAGAGACUGCUGUUGAGGUGCGUUGGUCCCUUGGGUCUUGGACAAAUAAAUUACUGAGGCAGCUGCCAGGCAUCCUCCCUCCCAUAGCAGCUACUAGCCUGAUGUUGGGCCUGACUGAACACAGGGGGCCUGACCAUGGAAGCCUGACAACUUGUGGGACCAUCAGACCUCUGCUGCCCCUCCUCAUGUGGGUACCCACUAAUCCCACUAAUAAAACAGGACAGGUUCAACAAAGCUCCAUCAUUAAGUAAAAAUAGUACAACCAAGGUCAAGCCCACGUGGGCCCCAGGGGGCCAGGCAGCUCCAUAAACAAGCAGGGGCUCUGUCAGAGGAGGCGAAACUGCUGUAGGGGCCGCCCCUGCCCCUCCCUUUACAAAGUGGGGCCACAGUUCAAAGAUGUCCCAGAUGCAAAGCUCAGCUGGGAGUGUCGUCUGGGCCACCAUGGCUACCUUCUCGAAGGAUAACCACCUUUUAACCGAGACCAGAUAAGAAUAUCCUGCCCAAGGGGCCAAACUGCAUAUGAUAGCGAAGGCUGUCCAGCCGAUCCCCGAGCAAGUCUCUCCUACUUGUUUACAGAUUUGUGGGCCAUUUCAGACUACCGAGCUACAUGCAAAGUCUCCCCGUGUGGGGACAGGGACUGUGACAACAGCUUGUAGACUGAAAAAAAAACCAACCUUAUUCAUCAUUUGUAUUAAUGCCUCUAACAACCAUUAAAAAAAUGC